UACGGAGGGUGCAAGCGUUAUCCGGAUUCACUGGGUUUAAAGGGUGCGUAGGAGGGCAGGUAAGUCAGUGGUGAAAUCUCCAAGCUUAACUUGGAACUGCCGUUGAUACUAUCUGUCUUGAAUAUUGUGGAGGUGAGCGGAAUAUGUCAUGUAGCGGUGAAAUGCUUAGAUAUGACAUAGAACACCAAUUGCGAAAGGCAGCUUACUACACAAAUAUUGACGCUGAGGCACGAAAGCGUGGGGAUCAAACAGG
rnacentral:rRNA from 1 species